AACUGUGAUACAUAUACACAAUGGACUAUUAUUCAUUGCAAUAAAGUAAAUACAUAUUUUAUAUUUAAAUAUAAAUAUAUUGCAAUAGUGAUAAGAAGAAAUGAGCUAACAAGACAGGAAAAAACAUGGAUGAAUAUUUAAUGCAUUUUGAUAAGUGAAAAAAGCCAAUCUAAAAAGGCUACAUACUGUAUGAUCCCAAAUAUAUACCAUUCUGGAAAAGACAAAACUAUGGAGAUGCUAAAAAAAACUCAGUGCUCUCCAGGUGUUGAAGGAAGGAAGAGAGGGAUGAAAAGGUGGAGCACAGAACAUUUUUAGGGAAGCAAAACUAUUCUGUAUGAUAAGAUAAGGGUGGAUGCUAUGCAUAUGUCAAAACCCAUAGAAUAUGCAACGCCAAGAGCAAGCCCUAAUGUAAGCUAUGGACUUUAGUUAAUAAUAAUGUAUCAGUAUUGGUUCAUCAAUUAUAAGUGAACUACACUAAUGCAAGAUGUUACUAGUAAGGGAAAAUGUGUGUGGGAGAGGGGAAGAGGUAUAUGAGAACUCUAUCUACUUUUUCUGUCUUUUUUUUGUAAAGCAAAAACUGCUCUAAAAAUAGCCUAUUAAAAUAAAAACCAAAAUAAAACACUGUGCUGUCUUGAGAUUAUUUGUUUCUGGGGAAAUUAAUUUCCCUAACCAACUAGGAAAAAGAUCUCUAAACUUCCCUCCUUGGCUUUUAGAGGUUAUAACAUCUGCCAAUAUUUAUUAUUCAUUCAAUAACUACUUACUGAGAGCCAAUCGUGCCAAGCACUGUUCUAGAUCCUGGAGGUAGAGUAGUAAACAAAAGGGGUCUUGGAGCUUAUACUCUGCGGGGGAAGACAAAUACAUAUACAAAUCAUCAGAAUAAUUUCAGAUAGGGGCAAUCAGUGUGAAGAAAAUUUAAAAGUAAAAGCAUGAUAAUGGAAUAGAGAGUGAUGGGGUAGGAGCUUGGAAUCAACUUUAGCUAGGGUGAUCAUGGGGGGACUCCCUGAGAGGCAUCUUCUAAACUGAGCCUUCAAUGUUGAGAAGGAGGCUACAUGGAGAAAGGUACCCUAAGCAGAACUAGUUCAUGGAGAAACUUCACCAAUAACUAUUGUUAAAGAAAACUUUUCUGCCCAUUUCAACUAGGGAUUAUUGAGAUACAUAAGAAUCAUUUAUGGACAUAAAAGCCUACACAUACAUUUAAAUCCCUAAGGUGUGAACAUAUUUGGAAUGACUGAGGCUUCAAAAAAGACAAUUGGCGUCACCAGCUUGGAGAAUGAAGUGGUGAGAGGCAGAAGAAGAGGUUGGAGCAAUGAGCCAACACUGAGUCCUAGUGCUGCUUGUUUCCUUUUGUUCAGGGAAGCUUCUAGAAGAUGGAAGUUGUCCCAAAGUGACUUCCAGAUGACUUUUGGGAGUCGGUAUAUGUGUACCACUCAUCUAGCUGGAUCUUCACUUUUCAUUCUAUUUAUUCAGCUGGUACCUACAUCAUGGCUGCAGAGGGGGAAAAAAGCCUUCAAGAGCUGCCAUGCCUUCCUCUCAUGGUGUAGCUGGGAAAUGUACAACUCAGGGCUGCUAAUGCUUGGAAUAAAUGGACAGUCUUGCUAACUCCUAUUAUCAUCAUUCUGUCUAGAGUCUAUGUCAGUUCGAAACUAAAAUGUCCUCCUUUGGAUCUAUA
ensembl:lncRNA